rnacentral:ncRNA from 2 species
CGCUAAAAACAUACCAGGUUUCGUAUAUCUUUGGAGAUAUGGUCCAAAAGUUUCUACCAAACUACCACAAAUGGUUUGACUACGAUGACAAUUCUGGAAAUA